rnacentral:tRNA from 1 species
UAUAAUUUAGUGUAUGGCGCACACAGGCUUUUGAAUCCUGAAGACAAAGUUCAACUCUUUUAAUUAUAA